UUAAGAAAUUGWSGGAAGGGCACCACCAGGAGUGGAGCCUGYAGCUUAAUUUGACUCAACACGGGGAAACUUWCCAGGUCCAGACAUAGUAAGGAYWGACAGAUUGAUAGCUCUUUCUUGAUUCUAUGGGUGGUGGUGCAUGGCCGUUCUUAGUUGGUGGAGUGAUUUGUMUGGUUAAUUCMGAUAACGAMCGAGACCUUAACCUGCUAACUAGUUCUCAAUACUCUGUAUUSUGCAACUUCUUAGAGGGAMUAUGUAAAUCAAUUACAUGGAAGUUUGAGGCAAUARCAGGUCAGUGAUGCCCUUAUAUGUCCUGGGCUGCACGCGUGCUACACUGAUGCAUACAACAAGUGCCUAGCCAGACAUGGUAUGGCAAUCUSGAAUAUGCAUCGUGAUGGGGAUAGAUCUUUGCAAUUAUAGAUCUUGAACGAGGAAUUCCUAGUAAGUGCAAGUCAUCAUCUUGCAUUGAUUAUGUCCCUGCCCUUUGUACACACCGCCCGUCGCUCCUACCGAUACCGGGUGAUCCGGU
rnacentral:rRNA from 1 species